UACGUAGGGGGCAAGCGUUAUCCGGAUUUACUGGGUGUAAAGGGAGCGUAGACGGCAGCGCAAGUCUGGAGUGAAAUCCCAUGGCUUAACCAUGGAACUGCUUUGGAAACUGGGGAUCUAGAGUGUGCGAGAGGUAUGCGGAAUGCGUGGUGUAGCGGUGAAAUGCAUAGAUAUCACGCAGAACCCCGAUUGCGAAGGCAGCAUACCGGUGCACAACUGACGCUCAGGCACGAAAGCGUGGGUAUCGAACAGG
rnacentral:rRNA from 1 species